GGGAAUACAGCUCAAGUGGUAGAGCGCAUGCCUAGCAUGCACGAGGUCCUGGGUUCAAUCCCCAGUGCCUCCU
rnacentral:tRNA from 1 species